AUGUCAACAUCCAAAAGAUCCAAACGGGGGCGCUGGCCUGAGCCUGUCCCAGUUUCCCUCCGCGACCUCACCCAUCUUCAUUCCCUGGGGCCACCUGUGACCGGGCACUGCCCAGCCUCCAACCUUCACCCCUGUACAGGCCUCGGGCCAGAAAGGACACAUACCACACUCAACACACAUUCACAUUCACACACUCACCACCACACUCACCACACUACACUCAACACUCUUACAUUGACACACUCACACCACACUCAACACAGAUUCCCACACACCACACUCACCACACACCACACUCAACACUUACACACACUCACACCACACACACACCAUACUCAACACACUUAUACACAUUCACACAUACCACACUCAACACACAUUCUCACCACACUCACCACACUUACACUCACACACACCACACUCAACACUCACUACAAGCCACAUUCACACACAUCAUGCUCAACACACUCACCAGUCACACCCUCACCACACUCACUACACUAAACAUACCCCCACCACACUCACACA
rnacentral:lncRNA from 1 species